UAGGGAAUAUUGGGCAAUGGGCGAAAGCCUGACCCAGCCAUGCCGCGUGAAUGAUGAAGGCCUUAGGGUUGUAAAGUUCUUUCGCAGGUGAAGAUAAUGACGGUAACCUGAUAAGAAGCCCCGGCUAACUUCGUGCCAGCAGCCGCGGUAAUACGAAGGGGGCUAGCGUUGUUCGGAAUUACUGGGCGUAAAGCGCAUGUAGGCGGUCCUACAAGCCAGAGGUGAAAUCCCGGGGCUCAACCUCGGAAUUGCCUUUGGAACUGUAGGACUGGAGUAUCGGAGGGGAUGGUGGAAUUCCAAGUGUAGAGGUGAAAUUCGUAGAUAUUUGGAGGAACACCGGUGGCGAAGGCGGCCAUCUGGACGAUUACUGACGCUGAGAUGCGAAAGCGUGGGGAGCAAACAGG
rnacentral:rRNA from 1 species